rnacentral:rRNA from 1 species
GACGAACCGUCCAAACGUUAUCCGGAAUUACUGGGCGUAAAGGGUGCGUAGGCGGUCUUUCAAGCCAGAAGUGAAAGGCUACGGCUCAACCGUAGUAAGCUUUUGGAACUGUAAGACUUGAGUGCAGGAGAGGAGAGUGGAAUUCCUAGUGUAGCGGUGAAAUGCGUAGAUAUUAGGAGGAACACCAGUAGCGAAGGCGGCUCUCUGGACUGUAACUGACGCUGAGGCACGAAAGCGUGGGGAGCAAACAGGAUUAGAUACCCGGGUAGUCCCUGAGCGGG